rnacentral:rRNA from 1 species
UACGAAGGGGGCUAGCGUUGUUCGGAAUUACUGGGCGUAAAGGGCGCGUAGGCUGUGCUGUAAGUCAGGCGUGAAAGGCCCGGGCUCAACCUGGGAACUGCGUUUGAUACUGCGGCGCUGGAAUGCAGGAGAGGAUGGCGGAAUUCCCAGUGUAGAGGUGAAAUUCGUAGAUAUUCGCAAGAACACCAGUGGCGAAGGCGGCUCACUGGCCCGAUACUGACGCUGAGGCACGAAAGCGUGGGGAGCAAACAGG